UACGUAGGGGGCAAGCGUUGUCCGGAUUUAUUGGGCGUAAAGAGCGUGUAGGCGGCCAGACAGGUCUGCUGUGAAAACUCGAGGCUCAACCUCGAGACGCCGGUGGAAACCGUCUGGCUAGAGUCCGGAAGAGGAGAGUGGAAUUCCUGGUGUAGCGGUGAAAUGCGCAGAUAUCAGGAAGAACACCCGUGGCUAAGGCGGCUCCCUAGUACGGUACUGACGCUGAGACGCGAAAGCGUGGGGAGCGAACAGG
rnacentral:rRNA from 1 species